rnacentral:rRNA from 1 species
CCUACGGGAGGCAGCAGUCGGGAAUUUUGGGCAAUGGGCGAAAGCCUGACCCAGCAACGCCGCGUGAAGGAUGAAGUAUUUCGGUAUGUAAACUUCGAAAGAAUAGGAAGAAUAAAUGACGGUACUAUUUAUAAGGUCCGGCUAACUCCGUGCCAGCAGCCGCGGUAAUACGGAGGGUGCGAGCGUUAUCCGGAAUUACUGGGUUUAAAGGGUGCGUAGGCGGCCCUGUAAGUCAGGAGUGAAAGUUUGCGGCUCAACCGUAAAAUUGCUUUUGAUACUGCGGGGCUAGAAUUAGGAUGAGGUCAGCGGAAUGUGGCAUGUAGCGGUGAAAUGCAUAGAUAUGCCAUAGAACACCAAUUGCGAAGGCAGCUGGCUAGACCUGGAUUGACGCUGAGGCACGAAAGCGUGGGGAGCGAACAGGAUUAGAUACCCUGGUAGUCCACGCCCUAAACGAUGCUUACUCGACGUAUGGCGCUAGACGUUGUGCGUCCAAGGGAAACCGUUAAGUAAGCCACCUGGGGAGUACGACCGCAAGGUUGAAACUCAAAGGAAUUGACGG